AAGGCAGGUCUAGUGGCAGUGGGGCUGGCUCGGCGGAUCCCUGUCAGUCACUUUGCUCUCGUACUAAGUGUACUUUUGUGCCAUUUAAGCAGCCGAUGGUGUCAUUGGCGUUGAGAGUGCAGCUUCUACAGCUCACACUGAAGGCUUUGGGGACCCAGGAGGGCGCGAGUUGUUUUAAGAUACAUGGCCAUUUGACAUACCCGUGUUAAGUUCAAUCUUGCUACAAAAGAAGGCCAUUUGUACUUCCUGACCCUGAAAGCAAGAACUGUGUCUCUUUAAAUCUACUGAGGAAGAUAUUCCUUCUGGCCCACAGGAUGCCAAAAUGACUCGAUGAUUUAUUUAUGCAGCGCUUGGCAGCCCAUCGUCCAGAUUGUGGCUGAAGCUGAAUUUUAUGAGCCUUCCCCCAGUGAAAACAGAACGGAAAUGGAGAGGAGAGCCCAGCAUGACUUGCGCCGUGCCAAAGGAAUACGUGUGAGUUGGCUUCGUGUCAUCGUAACAAAACCCUGAGAGAAAUAUCUUGAAAGAGCCAGGUUGGUCCAGACCUGCUGGCAAGCCUGCAGCCCCAUCCACCGAUUACCUAAUACACUUGUGACAUCUGCUUUCCUUGUUGUGAGAAAACACAGGGAGGAAGUGUGUGCAGAAGGGGUGAUGCCUGACCUACACACCCGGCAAUACCAGAAGUUUCACUACCUUCCGUUGGUAAACGCUUCAGGGAAGGCUCUGCAACCCUGAACGUGUUUUAUUGUAGAACCUCACUAGGAAACUCAUCAGUAUUUAUUAAAGAUGAAUUAAAAGAAGGAGGAAAAGGAAAAACGGGAUAGUGAAGAGAAUAGAUGAAUGAAAAAGAAGCAAAGGGAAGAGAGGAGGAAGGGACAAAGAGGGCAAGAAAAGAGAAAAGAGAGAUGAGAGACCAGGACUUCCCACCUAACCUUACCAAACUUUUUCAGUUGAGCUUUUAAUGGGAUACUAUUCCCAAGAGGAAAUUCAAAAAGAAAACCACCUUGAAACAUCCUUGCUUUUAAUUGUACUCUUUCAACUGCCAGGAAAUUAAUUAGGUAAGACAAAAAGAAAA
rnacentral:lncRNA from 1 species